rnacentral:misc_RNA from 1 species
AUGAAAGGUCCGAGCGAGGUUGUAGCUGGCCCCCCCCCCCCUCUGUGGGGGGUGUGUGCAACGUGCACGCCUUGUCUCCAUCUUCAUCCCCUCACCCCUGUGCAUCUCUGCGUGAGUUUGGAGCGUUGGUUCGCUUCGGGCUUGCGUCCUUUUCCACAACAAACCCCCCCAUCGCAUGUAUCGGAACGUCUCAUAUUUUGCUGUCGAAGCAAACAUUGUA